ACGGAAGGCAGCAGUGGGGAAUAUUAGGCAAUGGGGGCAACCCUGACCUAGCAACGCCGCGUGAAGGAAGAAGGCCUUCGGGUUGUAAACUUCUUUUAUGAGGGACGAAUGGAAUGACGGUACCUCAUGAAUAAGCCACGGCUAACUACGUGCCAGCAGCCGCGGUAAUACGUAGGUGGCAAGCGUUGUCCGGAUUUACUGGGUGUAAAGGGCGCGUAGGCGGGAUGACAAGUCAGAUGUGAAAUCCAUGGGCUCAACCCAUGAACUGCAUUUGAAACUGCCAUUCUUGAGUAUCGGAGAGGCAAGCGGAAUUCCUAGUGUAGCGGUGAAAUGCGUAGAUAUUAGGAGGAACACCAGUGGCGAAGGCGGAUUGCUGGACAGUAACUGACGGUGAGGCGCGAAAGUGUGGGGAGCAAACAGGAUUAGAUACCCUGGUA
rnacentral:rRNA from 1 species